UGGGCUUUAACUGACGCUGAGGCACGAAAGCGUGGGUAGCAAACAGGAUUAGAUACCCUGGUAGUCCACGCGGUAAACGAUGAAUACUAGGUGUUGGCAUCCAAAGGAUGUCGGUGCCGUCGCAAACGCAUUAAGUAUUCCACCUGGGGAGUACGUUCGCAAGAAUGAAACUCAAAGGAAUUGACGGGGACCCGCACAAGCAGUGGAGCAUGUGGUUUAAUUCGAAGCAACGCGAAGAACCUUACCAAGUCUUGACAUCCCCCUGACCGGCGAGUAACGUCGCCUUUCCUUCGGGACAGGGGAGACAGGUGGUGCAUGGUUGUCGUCAGCUCGUGUCGUGAGAUGUUGGGUUAAGUCCCGCAACGAGCGCAACCCUUAUGGCCAGUAGCCAGCACGUUAUGGUGGGCACUCUGGCAAGACUGCCCGGGAUAACCGGGAGGAAGGUGGGGAUGACGUCAAAUCAUCAUGCCCCUUAUGAUUUGGGCAACACACGUGCUACAAUGGCGUAACAGAGAGAAGCGAUCCCGCGAGGGGGAGCAAAUCUUCAAAUAACGUCUCAGUUCGGACUGCAGUCUGCAACUCGACUGCACGAAGCUGGAA
rnacentral:rRNA from 1 species